rnacentral:rRNA from 1 species
UACGUAGGGUGCAAGCGUUAAUCGGAAUUACUGGGCGUAAAGCGUGCGCAGGCGGUCUUGCAAGACAGAUGUGAAAUCCCCGGGCUUAACCUGGGAACUGCAUUUGUGACUGCAAGGCUGGAGUACGGUAGAGGGGAUGGAAUUCCGCGUGUAGCAGUGAAAUGCGUAGAUAUGCGGAGGAACACCGAUGGCGAAGGCAAUCCCCUGGACCUGUACUGACGCUCAUGCACGAAAGCGUGGGGAGCAAACAGG